rnacentral:rRNA from 1 species
GACAGAGGGUGCAAACGUUGUUCGGAAUUACUGGGCGUAAAGCGUGUGUAGGCGGCCUCGCAAGUCGGAUGUGAAAGCCCCGGGCUCAACCCGGGAAGUGCACUCGAUACUGCUUGGCUAGAGUCUCGGAGAGGUUGGUGGAAUUCUCGGUGUAGAGGUGAAAUUCGUAGAUAUCGAGAGGAACACCGGUGGCGAAGGCGGCCAACUGGACGAAGACUGACGCUGAGAUACGAAAGCGUGGGGAGCAAACAGG